rnacentral:rRNA from 1 species
UACGUAGGGUGCAAGCGUUAAUCGGAAUUACUGGGCGUAAAGGGCGCGUAGGCGGUUAUAAAAGAGUGGUGUGAAAGCCCUGGGCUUAACCUGGGAAGUGCAUCGCUAACUGUAUAACUGGAGUUAGGAGAGGGUGGUGGAAUUUCCGGUGUAGCGGUGAAAUGCGUAGAGAUCGGAAGGAACGUCGAUGGCGAAGGCAGCCACCUGGCCAAAAACUGACGCUGAGGCGCGAAAGCGUGGGGAGCAAACAGG